GCCACUGUAGCUUAGCUCGGUGGAGCGGCUGAUUUGUAAUCAGCAGGUCGGGGGUUCAAAUCCCUCCAGUGGCU
rnacentral:tRNA from 1 species